UACGGAGGGUGCGAGCGUUGUCCGGAAUCAUUGGGCGUAAAGGGCGCGUAGGUGGCCCGGUCAGUUCGUGGUGAAAGCGCGGGGCUCAACCCUGCGUCGGCCAUGAAUACUGCCGCGGCUGGAGCACUGUAGAGGCAGGCGGAAUUCCGGGUGUAGCGGUGGAAUGCGUAGAGAUCCGGAAGAACACCGGUGGCGAAGGCGGCCUGCUGGGCAGUUGCUGACACUGAGGCGCGAAAGCGUGGGGAGCGAUCCGG
rnacentral:rRNA from 1 species